AUCAGGUGGUGUAAUACCAGCACCCAAUAAAUGGUAGUUUUCUCCUUGAAGCUGAAACAUAUCAGGGCCUCUUCCUUUUUUCAGAGACCUCUCUACUCUUCCACCAAGAGAAGUGAAGGAAAAUACCAUAUUGUAUGGCCUUAUAUGUUUCUGAAAAUGUCUGCUUCUUGGGUCAUCUCCUUGCAAAAGAUUUUUUAGAACAGUCGGUGGUUCCUUUAAUAAAGGCAGUUGCACUUGUCCUUGCAUACAACAUAAUGAAAAAGUAGGAUUCUUUGCGUUCCUACGCUUGUUUAGCCGUUCUCCAUACCACAUGAUAGCACCACAAUGAGAACAAUUAUAGUCGGGAUCACCUUCAUCUAAGUAGCCUACAAAUUUUGUUUAGCAAAUAGAAACAUAUACAUAAGACCUUAUUAUGAAAAUAAAUACAUGUUAUUGAAUAAUGAGAACACACACGUUCGUUACCACUUACCAAUAUCACCACUAAGUUUUCGGGUAGCUGAUUUUGGCACCUUUACAACAGCAUCAGUGUGUUCUGAAGUAGGUGCAAUUCUUUCUCUCUCGUUUACCUCAACCUCUGGCUCAAAAUGCGUAAGAUCAUCUAAAUCAGAGUCCUCAUUUUCUGUAUCAGUGUUCUCUAGAGAAGAACAGUCAAAGACUUGUUCAAUAUCUGCAUCAAUGAUCCCUGGGUAACAAAAGACAAAUUUAUGAAUGAUCAAUAAUUGUAGAAAAAAACAUAAGUUGAAUAAAGUAGCAAUUUAAAGUUUAGCUACCUCCAAACAAAUCAGUUCCGAAUAAUUCAUCUUCUUCUUCACUGGUUUCAGCUGCUGCAUUGAAUGUAGAUGAUGAUGAACUGCUUUUUCUUUUCCUCAGAUGUGCUAUAUUAGUAAUGUCUUUCAAUACAUCACUUGAACUUCUUUUAUUUUGGCAUCCCUUACUUUUCAUUGAUUUGAAACAACUCUUUUGUAGAUCCUCUGGUAUAAAAUAAAAAAAUGUAGACAUGUGUAUAAACUGUUGAACAGGUGUGAGAAAGCAGAAUUUUUUUAAAAAAAAAUAACUUACUUGAUAAUGAGGUUAAGCAAGUCUGUGAAAAGAUUGGGGUGUCGAUCACUUGGUCUUUCAUUUUAUCAAGACCUUGCAAAGAUUAGAACAUUUAUUCGGUCUGUUACUCUAAGUUGUAGGUUUUACAUGAUCGACCAUGUUUAAAAAUGAAUCACUUACCAACGACACAUCUUCUUUUAUUUAAAGAUGUUUGUGGUGAAAGCUUGCUUAUUUGUUCAUAUGGCGGAAUAGUGUAGUUUGGAACAGGCCGAUUCUCAAUAUUUUCGAAGAAUCUGUAGUAAAUAGAACUUAAUGGAAUCGCCAGGUUUGAUUUGGGAUUAGAAAACCUUUGUAUGUCUUCAUGGUUUUCACAUGCAUGACUGACUGUUGUUGUUCUUUUUUUCCUGGCAGUAUGAAAUCCUAUUUGGAGUUUGUCUCUCUUGCGACUCAUGAUGCAUGUGAUAUCGCUAUAGAGGUGUUCUUUGCACGAGAAAAAUGAAGAAAUAAUGGUGAGAAGAAUGACCUUGGUUAAGUUGAGAUUGCAAGUAAUAUCGAAAAGAUACCAUCUCAAAUUGAAGUUUUUAUACCUGUAUGGAUGGCGUGUUGCUCAUAAGAAAGGUGGAUAAAAUUUUCGAAUAUUUCUACAGGGUUUCACAGCUUCUGUCAACUUGUCAGAAAGCAAGGAGAUAUUGUGAUAGCUGAUUGGCGAGAAUAUUGGAAAACAGCCUAAUUUGUAUCUUAUUGUUAUUAAUACCAGCAAUUAAAGGGAGUUAUUGUCGGCAAAAUCUUGGUUAUUGUUUCUGCAAAUCGAAAACUUAUUUUGAUCCAUAACAAUCGUGUUGGUUAAAGGUAA